CAAUGAACUGCUUGCUAUACCAACGGUGCCUCCUUUCUCUAACAUAGACCAUCCAGAAGAUGAGGGAGAGAAUCAUUGAGGCAGAGAAGACAGUGAAGCUACAGUACAUUCCCUUGCUGUGACGCUCCAGUUCAGGGCAGAGGUUCUGGCUCGUGCUUGUGGCUGCCGUCAUCUCUCUAUAGAUGCUUGGUGUGAUGCGACCGACGGUUGAGCAGAUCUCUUGGCCAGAGAUGACAUUGGCGUUGCAUAUGAACCCUUUCCAUACCUGCAUUAAGAGGUAUUGUAUACAUAUAUAUAUUUCAUACACACAUACACAUACAAUUACUUUUUUCUCUUUACAAUCUUCAAAUGUAAUAUUAGGAUUAGUAAUGAUGAUCAAGAGCAUAAGAAAAACUUAAUAAUCCAAUUUGGUUAUGUUAAAAUAACCUUAAUCA